GACGAACGCUGGCGGCGCGCUUAACACAUGCAAGUCGAGCGAAGCGGCGGACGGGUGAGUAACACGUGAGUAACCUGCCUUAGACAUUGGGAUAGCCUCGGGAAACCGGGAUUAAUACCAAAUGGUCUAAGAUGGACUCGCGUCCCAUUAGCUAGUUGGUGGGUAACGGCCCACCAAGGCGACGAUGGGUAGCCGGCAUGAGGAGGUGAACGGGCACAUUGGAACUGAGAAACGGUCCAAACUCUACGGGAGGCAGCAGGGGGGAAUAUUGCACAAUGGGGGGAUGUCGGAUGCAGUGACGCCGCGUGAACGAAGAAGGCUUUCGAGGCGUAAAGUUCUUUUAUAGGGGAAGCGGUACCAGAAGAAAAAGCCCCGGCUAACUACGUGCCAGCAGCCGCGGUAAUUC
rnacentral:rRNA from 1 species